UCGAGCGGACAGAUGGGAGCUUGCUCCCUGAUGUUAGCGGCGGACGGGUGAGUAACACGUGGGUAACCUGCCUGUAAGACUGGGAUAACUCCGGGAAACCGGGGCUAAUACCGGAUGGUUGUUUGAACCGCAUGGUUCAAACAUAAAAGGUGGCUUCGGCUACCACUUACAGAUGGACCCGCGGCGCAUUAGCUAGUUGGUGAGGUAACGGCUCACCAAGGCAACGAUGCGUAGCCGACCUGAGAGGGUGAUCGGCCACACUGGGACUGAGACACGGCCCAGACUCCUACGGGAGGCAGCAGUAGGGAAUCUUCCGCAAUGGACGAAAGUCUGACGGAGCAACGCCGCGUGAGUGAUGAAGGUUUUCGGAUCGUAAAGCUCUGUUGUUAGGGAAGAACAAGUACCGUUCGAAUAGGGCGGUACCUUGACGGUACCUAACCAGAAAGCCACGGCUAACUACGUGCCAGCAGCCGCGGUAAUACGUAGGUGGCAAGCGUUGUCCGGAAUUAUUGGGCGUAAAGGGCUCGCAGGCGGUUUCUUAAGUCUGAUGUGAAAGCCCCCGGCUCAACCGGGGAGGGUCAUUGGAAACUGGGGAACUUGAGUGCAGAAGAGGAGAGUGGAAUUCCACGUGUAGCGGUGAAAUGCGUAGAGAUGUGGAGGAACACCAGUGGCGAAGGCGACUCUCUGGUCUGUAACUGACGCUGAGGAGCGAAAGCGUGGGGGAGCGAACAGGAUUAUAUACC
rnacentral:rRNA from 1 species